rnacentral:rRNA from 1 species
UACAGAGGGUGCAAGCGUUGUUCGGAAUUAUUGGGCGUAAAGCGCGUGUAGGCGGCAGUGCAAGUCGGGGUGUGAAAGCCCUCAGCUCAACUGAGGAAGUGCGCCCGAAACUGCAUUGCUUGAGUACCGGAGAGGAUGGCGGAAUUCCCGAAGUAGAGGUGAAAUUCGUAGAUAUCGGGGAGGAACACCGGGUGGCGAAGGCGGCCAUCUGGGACGGAUACUGACGCGUGAGACGCGAAAGCGUGGGGAGCAAACAGG